rfam:Rhizobium gallicum bv. gallicum R602, complete genome.
GAAAAUAGCAGCAGUUCUUAUUGUGGUGGGAAAGCGCAUGGGCAGGAUGGUGUAACCAUCCGGCGAUAGCCACCCAUGCGCUAGUUGACAGGCUCCCUCUGGGGCCUUUUUUUAUGCCUGAA